rnacentral:lncRNA from 1 species
AACAUAAUGGCUACAACAGCAUUUUGAGAUUCACCGGAAGAUAGGAAAGAGUUCAGCUCUUCAACAUACUCUCCAAAAAGAGUACAUUUAAAACGGUACUUACCUAUUUAAAAUUUGUCAAAGAUUAUACAAAUAUUAAUAAAAAUAUUAUAAUACAGGUCUUGAAAAAUUACAAUUAAAAAAAAAAAAUCAAACCUACCCAUUUGAAUCCAAUUCAAUGACAUUCAUAUUUUAGUUUUUACACCAUCUCUUUCGUAC